UACAGAGGGUGCAAGCGUUAAUCGGAAUUACUGGGCGUAAAGCGUGCGUAGACGGUUACAUAAGUCGGGUGUGAAAGCCCCGGGCUCAACCUGGGAAUUGCAUUCGAGACUGCGUAGCUAGGGUGCGGAAGAGGGAAGCGGAAUUUCCGGUGUAGCGGUGAAAUGCGUAGAUAUCGGAAGGAACACCAGUGGCGAAAGCGGCUUCCUGGUCCAGCACCGACGUUCAGGCACGAAAGCGUGGGGGAGCAAACAGGAUUGGAUACCCUGGUAGUCCACGCCAUAAACGAUGAGAACUAGACGUUGAAGGGGUAAGCCCUCCAGUGUCGUAGCUAACGCGCUAAGUUCUCCGCCUGGGGAGUACGGCCGCAAGGUUGAAACUCA
rnacentral:rRNA from 1 species